CACAAGCAGUGGAGUAUGUGGUUUAAUUCGAAGCAACGCGAAGAACCUUACCAGGGCUUGACAUCCCUUGACGAUCCUAGAGAUAGGAUUUCUCUUCGGAGCAAGGAGACAGGUGGUGCAUGGUUGUCGUCAGCUCGUGUCGUGAGAUGUUGGGUUAAGUCCCGCAACGAGCGCAACCCCUGUUGUUAGUUGCCAUCAUUAAGUUGGGCACUCUAGCGAGACUGCCGGUGACAAAUCGGAGGAAGGUGGGGACGACGUCAAAUCAUCAUGCCCUUUAUGUCCUGGGCUACACACGUACUACAAUGGCCGCUACAGAGGGAAGCGAAGUAGUGAUAUGGAGCAAAACCCUAAAAACGGUCUCAGUUCGGAUUGAAGGCUGAAAUUCGCCUUCAUGAAGCCGGAAUUGCUAGUAAUGGCAGGUCAGCAUACUGCCGUGAAUACGUUCCCGGGCCUUGUACACACCGCCCGUCACACCAUGAGAGUUGGGAAUACCCGAAGCCUGUGAGCUAACUUUUAGAGGCAGCAGUCGAAGGUAGAAUCAAUGAUUGGGGUGAAGUCGUAACAAGGUAGCCGUAUCGGAAGGUGCGGCUGGAUCACCUCCUU
rnacentral:rRNA from 1 species